rnacentral:rRNA from 1 species
UACGAAGGGGGCUAGCGUUGUUCGGAAUUACUGGGCGUAAAGCGCACGUAGGCGGAUACUUAAGUCAGGGGUGAAAUCCCGGGGCUCAACCCCGGAACUGCCUUUGAUACUGGGUAUCUCGAGUCCGGAAGAGGUGAGUGGAAUUCCGAGUGUAGAGGUGAAAUUCGUAGAUAUUCGGAGGAACACCAGUGGCGAAGGCGGCUCACUGGCCCGGUACUGACGCUGAGGCGCGAAAGCGUGGGGAGCAAACAGG